rnacentral:ncRNA from 2 species
AAGGGAAGCCGGUGGAGGCCCGAUCCUCGGGCUGAAUCCGGCACGGUCCCGCCACUGUGAGUGGGGAGCCACGUCCGAGCCCCGGCGGCAGCGGCCUCCGGGGAGCCACUGGGAGCGAUCCUGGGAAGGCCGGACAUGCGGCGACGAUCCACGAGUCAGGAGACCU